rnacentral:lncRNA from 1 species
GAGUUCCUUAUCACUGUGCCACCUGGGAAGUCCCUAGAGUGCUCUUAGAAUGAUACUUAACUCAAGUGAAAAUUACUGACCACUGAUUUAAACUCUUCAAACUUACUUCUGUGGGCUUCAGGAAACUUAGUUUUCUUACUUUAAAGUGGACUGAAAAAAAAAAUCUAUUUCCAAACUCAGAUACCUGCUAUCCCUUGCAUCUGGGAAUUUUGAGAGAGAUUUUGUCUUGGCUUCAAAUACCAUCAAACUUUCCCCUCACAACCUAAGUGGUUUGCAGUAAACACCGUAAGUACAUUCUCCUGUCACAAGGAGAGACAAAUAAAACAGAUGGUCCGUUGCACAUCAGCCCAAAUAGUGAUUCUUAUUUUGAAACCUAUGCAGAAGAGAUGUUUAGUGCAGCGAGUAUGUAGCUUAAGCAACUGUAAGCCUCUGGCACUAGUCCUUGCAGCCCCAAGCUCGGACUGUUGCUAGGUAACCAUUUUGAAAUGGACACCUAGCGACUAUUAACUGCCAUCCUUCCUUUCUGCCCCAUUAUCCUAUAAACAGACUUGUAAUUGCUAAAUCCAGUGUAACAUCAGAAGUCCAGGGCAGGAGCUAGGGGGAGAAAGAAAGAGAUUUUAGACUGUGUGCCUAUUUAUGGAAAUACUUGAAAAACGUAUGUCAAUCAUGAAUGACUAUUUUCUUAUUAUUUCUACUGUUUUAGACCACAGACUUACCACUUUCCAAACCAGUGUGUUAGUGUUUUAGUUUUGUAUUGCUUUGCAUUUUAUUUUUAAUUUAUUUUUGCCUUUUAUUUGCUUCAAAAUCUUUUUUCCAUUUUACUGGAGUAUAAUAAAAAUUGCAUAGUUAAGGUGCACAAUGUGAUGACUUCAUAUUAAUGUAUGCUAUAAAAUGAUGAUCAUCAUAGUCAAGUUGAUUAGCAUUCAUUACCUCACAUGGUUACCUUUUUUUUAAUUACUUCCCCUCUUCCCACCUCCACUCUGGCAACCACCUGUUUGUUCUCU